rnacentral:rRNA from 1 species
GGGUGACGAAGCGACGCCGCGUGGGUGAGGAAGGCCUUCGGGUUGUAAAGCCCUGUCAGGAGUUAAGAAAUGUAGACUCGCUAAUAUCGGGUCUAUUUGACAAAGGCUCCAAAGGAAGCCACGGCUAACUCUGUGCCAGCAGCCGCGGUAAUACAGAGGUGGCAAGCGUUGUUCGGAAUUAUUGGGCGUAAAGAGCACGUAGGUGGAUUUGUAGGUCAGACGUGAAAGCCUUCUGUUCAACGGAGGAAUUGCAUCUGAAACUACAAACCUUGAGUGUAGGAGGGGAGAAUGGAACUUCUGGUGGAGCGGUGAAAUGCGUAGAUAUCAGAAGGAACGUCGGCGGCGAAAGCGACUCUCUGGCCUAUUACUGACACUGAGUGUGCGAAAGUUAGGGGAGCAAACGGGAUUAGAUACCCCGGUAGUCCUAACUGUAAACGAUGGGCACUAAGUAGAGG